CCUACGGGAGGCAGCAGUGGGGAAUAUUGGACAAUGGGCGAAAGCCUGAUCCAGCAAUGCCGCGUGAGUGAAGAAGGCCUUCGGGUUGUAAAGCUCUUUUUACCCGGGAAGAUAAUGACUGUACCGGGAGAAUAAGCCCCGGCUAACUCCGUGCCAGCAGCCGCGGUAAUACGGAGGGGGCUAGCGUUGUUCGGAAUUACUGGGCGUAAAGCGUACGUAGGCGGCUUUGUAAGUCAGAGGUGAAAGCCCACGACUCAAUCGUGGAACUGCCUUUGAGACUGCUUCGCUUGAAGAUGGGAGAGGUUAGUGGAAUUCCGAGUGUAGAGGUGAAAUUCGUAGAUAUUCGGAAGAACACCAGUGGCGAAGGCGGCUAACUGGACCAUUCUUGACGCUGAGGUACGAAAGCGUGGGGAGCAAACAGGAUUAGAUACCCUGGUAGUCCACGCCGUAAACGAUGAUAACUAGCUGUCGGGGCUCUUGGAGCUUCGGUGGCGCAGCUAACGCAUUAAGUUAUCCGCCUGGGGAUACGGCCGCAAGGUUAAAACUCAAAGGAAUUGACGGCUGAGACNGCGACGCGACGACGAGGAGAG
rnacentral:rRNA from 1 species